GUUGCCGUGGAAGUUUGGUGAACCUUAUCACUUAGAGGAAGGAGAAGUCGUAACAAGGUUUCCGUAGGUGAACCUGCGGAAGGAUCAU
rnacentral:rRNA from 1 species